rnacentral:rRNA from 1 species
AUACGUAGGGGGCGAGCGUUGUCCGGAAUUACUGGGCGUAAAGGGCGUGUAGGCGGCCUGGCAAGUCGGCUGUGAAAUCCCCCGGCUCAACCGGGGAGUGGCAGUCGAAACUGUUGGGCUUGAGUGCAGGAGAGGAGGGUGGAAUUCCUGGUGUAGCGGUGAAAUGCGUAGAUAUCAGGAGGAACACCGGUGGCGAAGGCGACCUUCUGGCCUGUUACUGACGCUGAGGCGCGAAAGCCAGGGGAGCAAACAGGAUUAGAUACCCUGGUAGUCCUGGCUGUAAACGCUGGGUACUAGGUGUAGGGGGUUUAGAUACCUUCUGUGCCGUAGUUAACACAUUAAGUACCCCGCCCGGGGAGUACGGUCGCAAGGCUGAA